AGAAUCAACGCUGGCGGCGUGCCUAACACAUGCAAGUCGCACGAGAAAGGGGGAGCAAUCCCUGAGUACAGUGGCGCACGGGUGAGUAACACGUGAAUCAUCUACCUCCGAGUGGGGAAAUAACCUAGAGAAAUCUGGGCUAAUACCGCAUAACACUUACGAGUCAAAGCAGCAAUGCGCUUGGAGAGGAGUUCGCGGCCGAUUAGCUAGUUGGCGGGGUAAUGGCCCACCAAGGCGAUGAUCGGUA
rnacentral:rRNA from 1 species